rnacentral:rRNA from 1 species
CAGAGGGUGCAAGCGUUAAUCGGAAUUACUGGGCGUAAAGCGUGCGUAGACGGUUACAUAAGUCGGGUGUGAAAGCCCCGGGCUCAACCUGGGAAUUGCAUUCGAGACUGCGUAGCUAGGGUGCGGAAGAGGGAAGCGGAAUUUCCGGUGUAGCGGUGAAAUGCGUAGAUAUCGGAAGGAACACCAGUGGCGAAAGCGGCUUCCUGGUCCAGCACCGACGUUCAGGCACGAAAGCGUGGGGAGCAAACAGGAUU